GAAAAUAAACACUUACAUGCUAACACAGAGCAGCCAUCACUCCCUGCCGCAGACAGCGAACAGAGUUGAGGUAAUAUUAAGUGAUCCAGGUGGCAAGCAAAGGAAUGCCAAAAAGGAAGAGGUAGCAGAAGAUUGACUUCCUUUUCAGGUCAAGUUGUCAUGAUGUUUAUGAGGAAGGGAAGUCCAGGAGUCAGGACAAAGGAGAGCAUGGAGAAGAUGAGGGAGAGAGCACAAAAGAAGAAGGGGAGAACAUGAGAGGAGAGGGAGAUAACAGAAGAGGGAGGGAACACAGUGUUCUUG